rnacentral:lncRNA from 1 species
GUGGCUGUGGGCGUCGGGCUCCGCCAGCCAGGCGAGCCGCGUGCCGGGCAGCGUGCGCAGGGUCGAGCGCAGGGGUGUCCAGUGCCAUGCCUGGGGUCUAGGCUGAGCUGCCUCUUCAGCUGGGAAGAAAACCCUUCUGCUCGGGGCUUGGCUCCGCCUCACUCGCGGUGCUGAGUCAAGGAAAGUGCAUUUCGCCAAGGUGUCAAACUUCAGGACCUGGCCUGAGAACCUGACCUCAUCUCACCUGAAGUCUCCGAGAGUGCGGUUUGCAGACCAGUUGAGUGCAGACUCCAGAGUUUCCCAACUGUGUGAUUUUGUGGAAGUCAUGUCUCCUUCCUGAGCCUCAGUUUCCAGUUAUAGAUUUGGGGAUGACAGUAAUUUCUUGGAGUAAUUGUGGUGGGGAUGACAGUCUGAAGAGACCAAGGAUAUGGAAGCCCUCAGGCGGUGAUGUAGGGUUAUUCGAGCAAGGGGCUUUCAGAGUUGGAUGCUGUGUCCCGCAGGCUUACAACUCAUCUGUGGUACCAUGCCCUGACGGAGUGCCACGAGUCUCCAGGCCUUAGCUGUGUCUCUUUCCUGCAGCCUCACUGGAAAGGCUGGAAACAGGAGGAGGCAACCACCCCAUGGGAUGUGGGAUAUCUGGCUCCCAUACAAGCCUCAGCAUACCGGCCACCCCCAUGGGGGUCUCUCAGCCUCUUCCUGAAUCUGCAGUUCACACAGUCCUCUCAGCACUCUGGCUAGGAAUCUCCGUUGGCCAUACAUCCCUGCCUGGAUCUCCCCUCCUGGAAACCAGAAAUUUAAGCAGGAGUGAUCUUUGUGCCUUUCCCACUAACUUCUGGAAGGCAUUCUAGCUGGCCGUUCUGGGCCCUAAGAAGUCCUCCCUUCCCACAAAACUCAGAGGGCUCUGUUGGGGUCCUAACUUCUUCACUUCUCUGCUGCUGGUAGUGGUGCUGAAGGUCUCCCUUCAUGAAGUACUCACCUCGCUUUACUCCAUAGGGCCCACCUGUAUUUGUUCAUUCAGUAAAGUCUACAUCAUGGAGCAGCAGUGACAGUAACUCUAAAUCCUGGCAGAGGCAGCAAAGUCCUGGCCUCACCCCACCCAAGCUGCAGGGGGUCACCCGGAAAUCCACAUAUUGUUAGGUAUCCAUUAUGUGGCAGGUACCAGUCCAAGUGUGGGGCUAGAGCAAUGAACAAAACCAAGACUCUGCUUACAUGGCACUUACAUUGUCAAUGUAAGCAGGGUGAUAGACAAUGAACAAAUAAGCAAGGAAGUAUGUGAUGCCAGGAGGUUAGAAGCCUUAUGAAGAAAAAGCAAGGCAGGGAGACACAGUGAUGAAGAUUAUGGAGUGAUUAGAGAAGGCCUCUCUGCUACAUUUAAGCAGAGACCUGAAUGAAGAGAAUUGGAAGCAGAUACCUGGAGAUAUGUAGGGCCAGAUAGAGGGAUAAGCAUGUGCAAAAGUCCUGAGGCAGGACCAUGUUUGGCAGAUUCAAAGUAUGGCAAGGAGGCUCAUAUGUCUGCAGCAGGGUGAGUAAAAGAGAUAGUGGGAAAUGGGGUGAGAGAGAGAGAAACAGGAUUAUAUUCUGAGAUGGCUUGAGCCAUCUCACUGGAGGGCUUGAGCGGAAGAGAAGAAUAUCACUAUCUGAUUUACAUUUUAACAGGAGCAUGCUGGUUACUGGAGGGAAAGGGCAGAAGGAGGGAGACCAAUUAGGAGGCUAUUGCAAUAAUCCCAGUGAGUGGAGCUGGUGAAAAGUGGUGGUUGAAUUCUAGAUAUAUGUUUUCAAGAUGGAGCUAGCAGUAUUUACUCACGAUUGCAUGUGGGAAGUGAGAUAAGCAAGGAGCUAAGGAUGACUCCUGCAAGAAUGGAGUUGAGAAGACUAGGUUUGUGGGUGGUAGAUUAAGUGUCCAGGUUUGGGCAAAAUUUGAAAUGCAUAUCGGAUAUCCAGAUGGAAGUGUGGAUUAGGCAGGGGGAUUUUUAAGGCUGGAGUUCCCAAGGAGAGGUCUGAGUAUGAGGAAGAGCUGUCCAUUCUACCUCUAAGACCUGUCUCAAGUCAGUCCAUCCCUAGUGUCACCAUCCUGGACUAAGCUGUCACACUGCUGCUCUGGAUGACCACAAUAACCUGGCUGCCCUCCUCACUUCCUCUGUAGCCUCAGUAUAAUCCAUUCGUUACAUAGCAGCCUGAGUAGACCUUUACAAUGUAAAUGGGAUUAUGCCAUCCUCCUGCUUCAAACUCCCCAGCAGCUUCUUGCAUUUAGAGUAAAAUCUCAUCUCCAUCCCCUGGCCUAUCAGGCCCUGCAUGAGCUAGCCUCAGCCUGUGUCUCUUACUACACCUGGAGGCACCAUCCGUUUUGAUUGCUCUACUCCAGUUAGCCUGACCUCCUUUCUUGUCUUCUAACACUCUGAACAGGAUCCUGCCUUGGAGCCUUGUCCUUGCUGCUCUAAACUCAUAGCAUUAUCCCCUGGGCUUUUCCCAAGAUUGACUGCAUUUUAUAUAAUAGAUCUUCUUGCCUCCUUGGGACAUCACUGACCAUUCCCUCUAAGAUAACUGCCCCCCAUACUCUGGUUCACACCACCCUGUUAAUUUCCUUCCAGGCACUGCCACUCUUUAUAAUCUUCUUCAUUAGUUUGUUCAUGACUGACUUAGCCCCAUGAAGGCAAAGAUGUUUUGUUCACAAUGACAUUUCCAAAAACCAUCACAGUGGCAGUCACACAGUAGGCACCUGAUAAAUGUCCAGUGAAUGAAUGAGUGGCCUCACGCCCUUUGCAUCUCUAUGCAUAUAUUUGAAU